CGCGUAGGCGGCUUAGUAAGUCGGAUGUGAAAGCCCCGGGCUUAACCUGGGAACUGCAUUCGAUACUGCUGGGCUAGAGUAUGGAAGAGGGAAGUGGAAUUCCGGGUGUAGCGGUGAAAUGCGUAGAUAUCCGGAGGAACACCAGUGGCGAAGGCGACUUCCUGGGCCAAUACUGACGCUGAGGUGCGAAAGCGUGGGGAGCAAACA
rnacentral:rRNA from 1 species